GCUCGGUUAGCUCAGUUGGUUAGAGCGUCGUACUAAUAUCUCCACUUCCCAGUCGGAAAUAUCAAGUAAUGCGAAGGUCAUGAGUUCAACCCUCAUACUGAGCA
rnacentral:tRNA from 1 species